GGCGGCAUGCCUUACACAUGCAAGUCGAACGGCAGCGCGGGAGCAAUCCUGGCGGCGAGUGGCGAACGGGUGAGUAAUACAUCGGAACGUGCCCAAUCGUGGGGGAUAACGCAGCGAAAGCUGUGCUAAUACCGCAUAAGAUCUACGGAUGAAAGCAGGGGAUCGCAAGACCUUGCGCGAAUGGAGCGGCCGAUGGCAGAUUAGGUAGUUGGUGAGGUAAAGGCUCACCAAGCCUUCGAUCUGUAGCUGGUCUGAGAGGACGACCAGCCACACUGGGACUGAGACACGGCCCAGACUCCUACGGGAGGCAGCAGUGGGGAAUUUUGGACAAUGGGCGAAAGCCUGAUCCAGCCAUGCCGCGUGCAGGAUGAAGCCUUCNGGUUUGUAAACUGCUUUUGUUACGGAACGAAACCGCCUUUUCCUAAUAAAGAAGG
rnacentral:rRNA from 1 species